AGCGAACGCUGGCGGCAGGCUUAACACAUGCAAGUCGAACGGGCGUAGCAAUACGUCAGUGGCAGACGGGUGAGUAACGCGUGGGAACGUACCUUUUGGUUCGGAACAACCCAGGGAAACUUGGGCUAAUACCGGAUAAGCCCUUACGGGGAAAGAUUUAUCGCCGAAAGAUCGGCCCGCGUCUGAUUAGCUAGUUGGUGAGGUAACGGCUCACCAAGGCAACGAUCAGUAGCUGGUCUGAGAGGAUGAUCAGCCACAUUGGGACUGAGACACGGCCCAAACUCCUACGGGAGGCAGCAGUGGGGAAUAUUGGACAAUGGGCGCAAGCCUGAUCCAGCCAUGCCGCGUGAGUGAUGAAGGCCCUAGGGUUGUAAAGCUCUUUUGUGCGGGAAGAUAAUGACAGUACCGC
rnacentral:rRNA from 1 species